rnacentral:rRNA from 1 species
UACGAGGGGGGCGAGCGUUGUUCGGAAUUAUUGGGCGUAAAGGGUGCGUAGGCGGUUUGGUAAGUCUUGUGUGAAAUCUACAGGCUCAACUUGUAGUCUGCACGAGAAACUGCCGGGCUUGAGUAUGGGAGAGGUGGAGUGGAAUUCCUGGUGUAGCGGUGAAAUGCGUAGAUAUCAGGAGGAACACCUGUGGCAAAAGCGGCUCACUGGACCAUACUACGUGAUGCACAAAAAGCUAGGGGGGAGCAAAACAGGG